rnacentral:rRNA from 1 species
GACGUAGGGCGCGAGCGUUGUCCGGAUUUAUUGGGCGUAAAGAGCGUGUAGGCGGCCAGACAGGUCCGUUGUGAAAACUCGAGGCUCAACCUCGAGACGCCGAUGGAAACCGUCUGGCUAGAGUCCGGAAGAGGAGAGUGGAAUUCCUGGUGUAGCGGUGAAAUGCGCAGAUAUCAGGAAGAACACCCGUGGCUAAGGCGGCUCUCUAGUACGGUACUGACGCUGAGACGCGAAAGCGUGGGGAGCGAACAGG